rnacentral:tRNA from 1 species
GAAAUAUAGACCCAAGAAGAAACUUCUAAUUUCAAUCUUUAGCGGUGAAAUCCCGUUAAUAUUUCA